rnacentral:rRNA from 1 species
UACGUAGGGGGCAAGCGUUGUCCGGAAUCAUUGGGCGUAAAGAGCGUGUAGGCGGCCAGAAAAGUCCGCUGUGAAAACUCGAGGCUCAACUUCGAGCUGUCGGUGGAAACUUUCUGGCUAGAGUCCGGAAGAGGAGAAUGGAAUUCCUGGUGUAGCGGUGAAAUGCGUAGAUAUCAGGAGGAAUACCGAUGGCGAAGGCAGGUCUCUGGGCUAUAACUGACGCUCAUGCAUGAAAGCGUGGGGAGCAAACAGG